UAAAGACGUAUACAAAUACCGGUCAAUACGAACUACAGUUUAAAAUCCAAAGAAUUUGGCGGUGUCUUAUAUAAUCAGGGGAACCUGUUUCUUAAUUCGAUAUUCCACGAAACUCAAUCCAUUUUUAGAAUUUCAGCCUGUGUACUGCUGUCGCCAGUAAACCUCUAAAAGAAAGUUUACAUCCAUAGUAUAUCUAUAGACGUCAAGUCAAAGUGCAGCCAAUAAUAUGGAGAUAAAUGGGUUACAACCUUAAUAAAGACUACGAAUUAAUUCAAUAAAAAAAUUAUGAAGGUGGACUUGAAAGUAAUAUUUACAAAAAUCCUAAUAUAAACAAUAAUCUAAGAACAUGCACACAUCGCCCGUCGCUCUCGUCUCAAGAAUGA
rnacentral:rRNA from 1 species